GACGAACGCUGGCGGCGCGCUUAACACAUGCAAGUCGAGCGAUGAAAUUUUAACAGAACCCUUCGUGGCGAAGAUAAAGUGGAUUAGCGGCGGACGGGUGAGUAACACGUGAGUAACCUGCCUUAGACCUUGGGAUAGCACCGGGAAACCGGGAUUAAUACCAAAUAAAAUCAUAAUGACACAUGUCAUAACGAUAAAAACUACGGUGGUCUAAGAUGGACUCGCGUCUCAUUAGCUAGUUGGUAGAGUAAAAGCCUAGCAAGACGACGAUGGGUAGCCGGCCUGAACGGAGGAACGGCCGAAUUGGGACUGAGAGACGGUUCAAACUCCUACGGGACGCAGCAGUUGGCAAUAUUACACAACGGAGACAACUCUGAUGCAGCGACGCCGCGUGAACGAAGAAGGCUUUCGAGUCGUAAAGUUCUUUUAUAUGGGAAGAUAAUGACUUUACCAUAAGAAAAAGCCCCGGCUAACUACGUG
rnacentral:rRNA from 1 species